GACGUAGGGCGCGAGCGUUGUCCGGAUUUAUUGGGCGUAAAGAGCUCGUAGGCGGCUCAUUGCGUCAACCGUGAAAACCAGCAGCUCAACUGUUGGCUUGCGGUUGAUACGGGUGGGCUGGAGUUCGGUAGGGGAGACUGGAAUUCCUGGUGUAGCGGUGAAAUGCGCAGAUAUCAGGAGGAACACCGGGUGGCGAAGGCGGGGUCUCUGGGGCCGAUACUGACGCUGGAGGAGCGAAAAGCCGUG
rnacentral:rRNA from 1 species